UCAGCCAUACUACCCUGAACACUCCCAAUCUCAGAAGCUAAGCAGGAUCGGGCCUGGUUAUUGGAUGGGAGACCAAUGUCAAUAGCAUGGUCAGUGGCUUAC
rnacentral:rRNA from 1 species